rnacentral:rRNA from 1 species
GACGAACGCUGGCGGCGUGCUUAACACAUGCAAGUCGAGCGGCGCGGCGAACGGGUGAGUAACGCGUGAGUAACUGCCCCCCUCUCUGGGAUAACAGUUGGAAACGGCUGCUAAUACCGGAUAGUGGGGGAUGACUCGCGGCCUAUCGGCUUGUUGGGUGGGUAGUGGCCUACCAAGGCGACGACGGGUAGCCGGCCUGGGAGGGGGACCGGCCACAUUGGGCUGAGGGACGGCCCAAACUCCUACGGGAGGCAGCAGUGGGGAAUAUUGCACAAUGGGGGAAACCCUGAUGCGGAGGCGCCGGGUUCGUAAUGACGGCCUUCGGGUUAUAAACCGCUUUGAGCCAUGACGCGGUAGUGGCAGAAGAAGCACCGGCUAACUACGUGCCAGCAGCCGCGGUAAUUC